rnacentral:rRNA from 1 species
ACAGUUUGAUCCUGGCUCAUCUUGAACGCUGGCGGCAGGCCUAACACAUGCAAGUCGAGCGGAUGAUGGGAGCUUGCUCCCGGAUUCAGCGGCGGACGGGUGAGUAAUGCCUAGGAAUCUGCCUGGUAGUGGGGGACAACGUUUCGAAAGGAACGCUAAUACCGCAUACGUCCUACGGGAGAAAGCAGGGGACCUUCGGGCCUUGCGCUAUCAGAUGAGCCUAGGUCGGAUUAGCUAGUUGGUGGGGUAAAGGCCUACCAAGGCGACGAUCCGUAACUGGUCUGAGAGGAUGAUCAGUCACACUGGAACUGAGACACGGUCCAUACUCCUACGGGAGGCAGCAGUGGGGAAUAUUGGACAAUGGGCGAAAGCCUGAUCCAGCCAUGCCGCGUGUGUGAAGAAGGUCUUCGGAUUGUAAAGCACUUUAAGUUGGGAGGAAGGGCAGUAAGUUAAUACCUUGCUGUUUUGACGUUACCAACAGAAUAAGCACCGGCUAACUUCGUGCCAGCAGCCGCGGUAAUACGAAGGGUGCAAGCGUUAAUCGGAAUUACUGGGCGUAAAGCGCGCGUAGGUGGUUUGGUAAGAUGGAUGU